rnacentral:rRNA from 1 species
AUGAUUAAAGAUAGCUUGCUAUUUUUAUGAAGAGCGGCGAACGGGUGAGUAACGCGUGGGAAAUCUGCCGAGUAGCGGGGGACAACGUUUGGAAACGAACGCUAAUACCGCAUAACAAUGAGAAUCGCAUGAUUCUUAUUUAAAAGAAGCAAUUGCUUCACUACUUGAUGAUCCCGCGUUGUAUUAGCUAGUUGGUAGUGUAAAGGACUACCAAGGCGAUGAUACAUAGCCGACCUGAGAGGGUGAUCGGCCACACUGGGACUGAGACACGGCCCAGACUCCUACGGGAGGCAGCAGUAGGGAAUCUUCGGCAAUGGGGGCAACCCUGACCGAGCAACGCCGCGUGAGUGAAGAAGGUUUUCGGAUCGUAAAACUCUGUUGUUAGAGAAGAACG